UACGUAGGGUGCAAGCGUUGUCCGGAAUUAUUGGGCGUAAAGAGCUCGUAGGCGGUCUGUCGCGUCUGCUGUGAAAACUCGGGGCUUAACCCCGGGCCUGCAGUGGGUACGGGCAGACUAGAGUGCGGUAGGGGAGACUGGAAUUCCUGGUGUAGCGGUGAAAUGCGCAGAUAUCAGGAGGAACACCGGUGGCGAAGGCGGGUCUCUGGGCCGUAACUGACGCUGAGGAGCGAAGGUCAGGGGAGCAAACGGG
rnacentral:rRNA from 1 species